rnacentral:rRNA from 1 species
UACGUAGGGUGCAAGCGUUAAUCGGAAUUACUGGGCGUAAAGCGUGCGCAGGCGGUUAUGUAAGACAGUUGUGAAAUCCCCGGGCUCAACCUGGGAAUUGCAUCUGUGACUGCAUAGCUAGAGUACGGUAGAGGGGGAUGGAAUUCCGCGUGUAGCAGUGAAAUGCGUAGAUAUGCGGAGGAACACCGAUGGCGAAGGCAAUCCCCUGGACCUGUACUGACGCUCAUGCACGAAAGCG